UACGUAGGGAGCAAGCGUUGUUCGGAUUUACUGGGCGUAAAGGGCGCGUAGGCGGCGCGGUAAGUCACUUGUGAAAUCUCUGAGCUUAACUCAGAACGGCCAAGUGAUACUGCAGUGCUAGAGUGCGGAAGGGGCAAUCGGAAUUCUUGGUGUAGCGGUGAAAUGCGUAGAUAUCAAGAGGAACACCUGAGGUGAAGACGGGUUGCUGGGCUGACACUGACGCUGAGGCGCGAAAGCCAGGGGAGCAAACGGG
rnacentral:rRNA from 1 species